rnacentral:lncRNA from 1 species
CUCGGGCCUUGGAAUUGUCCUUCAUUUUGCUCUUGACAUCUAUAACAGUGUAGAAAAUAUUAUCGAAGAUAUUCUUUUUAAUGUGCAUGACAUCAAGGUUAUGACGGAUCAAAUUGAUGGACCAGUACGACAAUUCUCAAAAGAUAUUGUGCUUCACCCAAUUAUGAGUUCUAUCGAACCUCCAAGAUUUUUGCUUAUCAAAUAGUAUGCCAAACUAGACUUCAUCUACUUGAGAUAUCCUCUGAAAUACU